rnacentral:rRNA from 1 species
UACGGGGGGGGCAAGCGUUGUUCGGAAUUACUGGGCGUAAAGGGCUCGUAGGCGGCCAACUAAGUCCGACGUGAAAUCCCCAGGCUUAACCUGGGAACUGCGUCGGAUACUGGAUGGCUUGAAUCCGGGAGAGGGAUGCGGAAUUCCAGGUGUAGCGGUGAAAUGCGUAGAUAUCAAGAGGAACACCUGCGGCGAAGGCGGGUUGCUGGGCCGACACUGACGCUGAGGCGCGAAAGCCAGGGGAGCGAACGGG